GCACUGCUGAAGAGUCCCAUACCAGGACGAAACGGCCGUCCAGUGC
rfam:Schistosoma margrebowiei strain Zambia genome assembly, scaffold: SMRZ_scaffold0001550